rnacentral:rRNA from 1 species
GACGAACGCUGGCGGCGUGCCUAACACAUGCAAGUCGAACGGAGCACCUGAAACUGCGACUUCGGUCAAAGUUUCAGACUGCUUAGUGGCGGACGGGUGAGUAACGCGUGAGUAACCUGCCGAGAAGAGGGGAACAACACAUCGAAAGGUGUGCUAAUACCGCAUAUUGCCAAAGUAUCGCAUGAUGCUUUGGUGAAAGAUUUAUCGCUUCUUGAUGGACUCGCGUCUGAUUAGAUAGUUGGUGAGGUAACGACUCACCAAGUCGACGAUCAGUAGCCGGACUGAGAGGUUGAACGGCCACAUUGGGACUGAGAUACGGCCCAGACUCCUACGGGAGGCAGCAGUGGGGAAUAUUGCGCAAUGGGGGAAACCCUGACGCAGCAACGCCGCGUGAAGGAUGAAGGUCUUCGGAUUGUAAACUUUUGUCUUUGGUGAAGAUAAUGACGGUAGCCAAGGAGGAAGCCACGGCUAACUACGUGCCAGCAGCCGC